AUACGUAGGUGACAAGCGUUAUCCGGAUUUACUGGGCGUAAAGGGCGUGUAGGCGGUCUUGCAAGUCAGAAGUGAAAUUCCUGAGCUCAACUCGGGCGCUGCUUCUGAAACUGCAGGACUUGAGUGCUGGAGGGGAUAGCGGAAUUCCUAGUGGAGCGGUAAAAUGCGCAGAUAUUAGGAAGAACACCAGUGGCGAAGGCGCUUCACUAGCCCGAAACUGACGCUCAGUCACGAAAGCGUGGGUAGCAAAUAGGAUUAGAUACCCUAGUAGUCCACGCUGUAAACGAUGACAACUAAAUAUUGCCGCGAGGCAGUGUUGAAGCUAACGCAUUAAGUUGUCCGCCUGGGGAGUACGGUCGCAAGACUGAAACUCAAAUGAAUGGACGGGG
rnacentral:rRNA from 1 species